UCCUUACACAUGCAAGUCGCCGGGCAGCGCGGGCCAACCUGGCGGCGGAGUGGCGAACGGGUGAGUAAUAUAUGGGAACAUACCCAGUAAUGGGGGAUAACUAUCCGAAAGGAUAGCUAAUACCGCAUACGCCCUAAGGGGGAAAGAGGGGGAUCGCAAGACCUCUUGUUAUUGGAGUGGCCGAUAUCUGAUUAGCUAGUUGGUAGGGUAAAAGCCUACCAAGGCUUCGAUCAGUAGCUGGUUUGAGAGAACGACCAGCCACACUGGAACUGAGACACGGUCCAGACUCCUACGGGAGGCAGCAGUGGGGAAUUUUGGACAAUGGGGGCAACCCUGAUCCAGCCUUUCCGCGUGAGUGAAGAAGGCCCUCGGGUUGUAAAGCC
rnacentral:rRNA from 1 species